rnacentral:rRNA from 1 species
CCUACGGGUGGCAGCAGUGAGGAAUAUUGGUCAAUGGACGCAAGUCUGAACCAGCCAUGCCGCGUGCAUGAAGACGGCUCUAUGAGUUGUAAACUGCUUUUGUACGAGUGUAAACGCAGAUACGCAUAUCUGUCUGAAAGUAUCGUACGAAUAAGGAUCGGCUAACUCCGUGCCAGCAGCCGCGGUAAUACGGAGGAUUCAAGCGUUAUCCGGAUUUAUUGGGUUUAACGGGUGCGUAGGCGGUCGGAUAAGUUAGAGGUGAAAUCUCGAGGCGCAACUUCCGAAUUGACUGUGAUACUGUUCGGCUAGAGAGUAGUUGAGGUAGGCGGGAUGUAUGGUGUAGCGGUGAAAUGCUUAGAGAUCA